GCCCCAAGGCAGUAAACAACCAACUGCAGGUCUUGAUGGAUUUACCUAUUCUGGACAUUUCAAAUGAAUCAAAUCAUACAUAUAUGGUCUACUGGAUACAAUUCAUUCCAUUAUCUUUUCAAGAGCCAUCCAUGUUGCAUCAUGUAUCUGUACUGCAUUCAUUUUCACUGCAUAAUACUUCAUUAUAUGGAUAUACCAUCUUUCAUUAUCCAUCCAUCCUAUGAUGUAUAUUUGGAUUGUGUUUCCACCAUUUCUUGAUCUAAAAUUGACUUUUGUUAACUUUGUGUUUGUUGUCUAUGGUCUGUCGUAUGGAAAAAAGAGAGAAAACACUCUCUUUGUUUUAAUAUUUGUAGGGUUCUAUUUUGCUUUUCAAGUUUGCAUAGAUAUCUCUUGCCCUAGUCUUGUUUUAUUUCACAAAAGAAUAUCUUCUUUGCCAAAUAUUUGCUUUCACAAAGAAAAUGUUUAAAUCAAUACAAGAGUUAUACUGAAUCUUGUAUUAGUAGAUGCAGAAAUAGGGCAUGCUCUUCUAUUCUUACUUAUUUCUGAAACUUUAAAUUUGAGAAUUUGUGGCACAACAGGGCUGUCUGAUGUGACAUUUCUCAUGAAGAUCGAGACCAUGGUGGAUUUGAGUGUCUAGAUUUGAGUGUGGUCUGACUGGGAAAAAUGUGAAAUUGAGCUACAAAUCUGAAAUUUUUAAGAUAAAAAAUUUGCAACCAAAACAUAUCCAGGCAAUAAGGAUAUUUGAGUCUUUUGAAAACAAAUACUCUUUUAGAGAAAGAGAGCACAUGAAUGUCAGCGGCAAUCAUGGUGCAAUUUAGGAGCGUUAAUUUCACCAAAGUAAAAUUCCAUGGCUAUGUUUUCAUAAUGGAAGAUUAAUGGGAUUGAAUAUAAAUGUACUAAACUUCCAUUAACAAUUUCUUUUCAUUCUUUCUUUUUCUUUCUUCUUUCUAAAAUGAUUUUCAAAACCUCUUGGGUAGACUGUAUAGUUUGGCUAUUACUGAGAGGAGCUGUAAUACAUUGCACAUUUUUGCAUAAAUAUUUGUGAUUUCAAGAUAAUGCACAGGCAUUGUGAUGACCUAGGGAAUAUAAAUUAUUUCAGACCAUGUAAACAGGUCUCCAAGUAAGAGAAAUAUGUAUUUGCUUUGUUUUUAAACGUGAUACCCAUUUUUGGCUAUUUAAAAAUACGCAAGAAACAAAAACCUUUAGGAUGUCAACUCUUUCUAAAGGUUGAAUAUCCCUCACCUAUUGUUGUAGAUUUAGCAUUGGGCUUUCAGUGGCUUGAACCAAAUUCCUUUUUACAUGUGUACCUUGUUCCCGUCUGUCUUGUACAACAUUCUUAAAGUUAACACUCAAGCACUACACAUCUACAAAGAGGAACAGAUCAUUCCAGUCCAUUGCUUGGUGUGCUUGCUAUCUGACUUUUUGUUAGGAAUUACUGAUUAUUCAUUGUCUGGAAUUCUGUUUGUUACGUAUUAGUGAUUUUGGUGACGUACCAUGAAGAAAGAAGAAAGUGGAUAUUUAAUUGAAGUAAACUGUAGAAUGUGACCUUAUCUCAGUGAUGUAAAACUGAGGAACAGAGUGCAUUUCAGGAUUCAUGAGAAGUAGUGACACUCUCAGAAGUAUCUACAUUUUCUCAGAAGACCACUGAACAGUGAAAUAUAUAAGGCAGUGGUCAAUUUCAUGGACUCAAAAAUUAAGAAAUAUUUUUAGAUCUGGUCCAGUUUGUUGCCAAGUAAUUGAUCUGAAAGGAUUUGGUUAUCUAGCAGCUUCUGUUUUUUAAAUACCUUUUAUAUGCCUUACCCCACGAGAAGCAGAAAAGACAGUUGUCCACAUGAUGUAAGCUGAAGUUAUUUUUAAAAAAAGUCAUCAAUUUCAGUUUUAUCUUACUAAUGUCAGAGAAUGUCCUUUGUUUUCCACUUUUGGACUCUUGUCUUUGAAACUGUGAGUUUUCUGGAAGGAUUCAUUGAGUACUUUAAUCAUUAACUCUCCAAUUAAGAUUAAUUUACUACAUUCGCCCAAUGUGUUAAUAGCUGAGGCUUUUUUAUUUUACCUUUAAAAAAUACAUUGUUAACUGACAAAAAUCAGGGUGCUCAUGUAACUUGCUCAGGAUCACAGAGCAAACAAGUGGAUGCAUUGGGUUUUCAACUCCGUAAUAUUUACUGGGCAUUUCAUGACUCAAAUACAUAGAAAUGAAACCUUCAAUUUAGCUAAGCUUCUGAAUGAGGAGAAAGAGGCAGACUAAAAAUGUGUGAUGCUGCCAAAGAGGAAAAAUCCAAAGUGGGAGCAACCUGGGGGUACGGUGAUUUGGGCAAUAAGAAGAGAAAGAUUUCUGAAAGGCAAAGCAAAGAGAUACAGGGAAUAAGUAUGUCGGCUCACAGUUUCCUUUAGUGCUUACAUCAUUUGGAUUCCUAGAACUCAGUUCCUCUGGGCUUCACAUUUGUUAGGUUUGCUCCACUUCAUGUAUCCCUGUGCUUCCUCGGCAGGGCUUUAACACUCUCUAAGGAGCCCUGGUUAAAUUUUAGCCUUGAUCCUAAAGCUGAAAUUGUAGCCUUAUUCAACCUCACACAGAAUGAAUUUGCUUCCUACUAGCAUUUAAGACUUUAGGGGGCUUUUUAUUGAAUUUCCAUGACUAGGAGGAAAAGACAAUUGAGAUGGGGUGCUAAAUAUACAUAAACAAGCAUGUGGACAUAUCCAAUGGCACAUCUCCAUGUGUCACUGAAUAUUUAUGGCAGGUCAUAGAGCUUAUGGAAAAAGAAGAAAUAGUUACAUCAUUUUUCUUAACACAAUAACCUUCAUUGUCUCUUUGCCUCUAAAAGGCACUGUAGAGCAAGACAUAGUGUGUUUUUUGUUUGUUAGUUUUACUUUCUUGAGACAGAAUCUUGCUCUGCAGGGCAGACUGGCCUUGAACUCACAGUGAUCCUCCUGCCUUAGCCUUCUAAGAGCUGGGAUUACAGGUGUGUGCCACCAUGCCCAGCUGGCAUAACUUUUGAUAUGGACACAAGGAUGACAUUUACUAUUAUUUGUGUAAUACAUCCUUGACGCAAACAAAUGAUGCCACAGGCAAAUCUUCAAAUUUAAUUAUCAGGUUAAUCUAACCAGAAAUCUUAGCUGGAAGCUAUAAGCAGAACAUAACAGAGCUGAUAAAAUUUAUUAACUCAUUCUAUAAAUAUUUGUAGAGCUCCUACUGUAAACCACUGUAUUCACUCUUGUCUGGGAACUGGGAGCAUAGCAGAGCACUCACUAGGCAAAUCUGAGGCUCUUCCUCCAAGGGAGCGAGAGAGGAGCACAUGAAAAGAAUUAUUAUCUGCGUGUUAUUAGGGUUAGAACCUUCACCCCUGUUAUUCACUUUGCUAGAAAAUUUCUCACUCACACUUUUACUAAUUGCUACCCUCUCUUAAGUUUUUGGGUUAAGCACCCUUGCUCUGGAGGGUUUCUCUGACAAACAGGAUCAUAAUCAGGAUUCAUAGAUCUGUCCUUCCCAAAUGCUCCAUGAAACCUUGCCAAAUUUAUUUUUAGCUCUAAAGUGAUAAUGUUUUCUUUGUAUGUUUUCCCUGCCAGAUUACAAACUUUGAAUCAGAAUCACAACAUCUUUUAUCUUUGUACUCUUAAAUUCCGGGUUUGUGAAAUAUUCUUGCCAUGUGUGUGUGUGUGUGUGUGUGUGUGUGUGUGUGUGUGUGUAGAUAUUAACUUGUACUUGUUACAUUCUGGCAUGUGAAACUCCAAAGCUAUACCUUUAUGUCUCUAUAUCAGUCAGUGUUAACUAGAGAAACAGAUGUAACAAGAUACACAAAUGUAUAAGAAUUUACAAGACAGGCUUACCAUGGUUAUCCAGAGUUGGAUGAGGAAGCGUGCAUAGGGUAUCUGCACACCGACAGCCAAAGGUUUCCAUCUAAGGUCUGGAGCUCACUGCAGUGUGCCGUGCGAGUCCGCCCAGGAGGCUGGUGAGUCUGCAGUGGAAGCCAGGAGAUGACAUCUAAGGUUAAAGACUGGAGCUCCAUGAAGAAGCAGAGCAGAUCCAUCCUUGUUUCCCUUUGACACUAUACAGAGCGGGGUCCUCUACACCGUGGGGUAUGGAAUUGCUGAGCUGAUUUAAACUUCUCUUAACUAAACUUCUUAAGUUGACAUAAUCAAUGAACUAUCACAGUCUCAAUACCCAAAUACCUGGUAUAAGAACACUGAGGAAUGGCACAUGGUGAACCCAGUGUUAAUGGGAAGAUGAUAAGAGCGAUAGCUUUGGAAACUUCUGUCUCCUUGCUGCAUACUAGGCAAUGUCAUAAGCAGUUCCUGCAUCUUUACUCCUGCAGUAUCCCACUAUUCUAAGAAAACUGAGGCCCCGAAAGAUCAAGUAAUUUGGCUACAUGGCAACUAAAUUGUGGAAGAGGAUGUGAACCCCAAAUCUUGGCUUUAAAGCUCACAUUCCUAAUAUACCUGCUGUAUUUCUCUAGUGUAAUAAAAGGGAUUGCUUGAUCUGAACAAUGCAAAUAAAAAGAGUAAGAAGACUAGAGAACUACCACUUGAAUUGGACCAAGACAUUCUCCCAUGUAUUAAAAACUGAUAUGUGAAACUACCACUGAUGCCUAUUUUUCCAAGAAUAAAAUUAAUUGCUUAUUAAACAGAUGGAAGAGUUCAGCCAAGAGGAAAGUGCUAAAGUACAUAGCCUAUGUGAAAGAGAAGGGCAAGCUCAGUAUACAGUGAUUUGCCAAAAAUACUUUCCCAAAUAUGUCAGCGAGACAGCAGGCAGGUGACUAGAAUACCAAAGUCCACAGGACAGAGACCAGCAUAAGUGAAGAGCAGGCAGUGAAAAGCUAGAUGACAGGUGAACAAAACCCUUUUAUCUUUUUCAAGGAGUCUUGUGUGAUGAAAUAGGAGAGAUGAGUCACAGAGCCGUAAUUAGAGAGGGUAGAGUGUUGUAAAUCACAGAUUAUGGGUGGAAUAAAGUACCUUGGUGACUUAAACAACUAAUAUCAAAUAAUAUUUUGGGGAAUAUAUUUGAUGUGCUCCCUUUUGAUAAGCAUUCUGUGCCACUUAAGUGGAUUCAUGAAUAGCCUGACAUAUAUACUGAAGAUGUCUUCACAGUCCAGAGCCAAAACAGGUUCUGGAGAAUAGAGGUGAGAUUUGUAAAUACCUGCAGAGUAAUCUAGGGAAAAAAAUCCAUGCAUACUAUAUUAAAGCAUAAGCAAUAUGGUUUUCAGGGUAAGGAUGAAAUAUUUUCUUGACAAAUUCUAAAAUAGAAUAUAAAUAUUUUCCUGCUAUAGUAGGAUAUAUGCUUUUCUGAGAAGCCUCAUGCUUCUCCAAAUCCUGUCUAAAAAGUAACCUAAUGGAAAAAACAGAACUGGAGCUGACUAUUUGUAAUUGUGUAACUUUAUGAACAAUGCAAAACAGAAAAACAACAGCUCUAGCUAUUUAUACUAAUUUAGAUAAAUAGAAUGCAAUGCCUUUAGAAAAACAAAGCUAUGGUAAGUUUUGGAUGCUGUCCUGAGAGGAGAAAAGGUCAAUGUAGAUACAUAGGGGAAUUAUGAGAAACAGGUUUGAAGCUUCUGAGUUAGGAAGAAAUGGGAGAGAGGUAAUUUAUCUGCAGGUGGAGAAACAGUUUCAAAGCUUUGCAUAAAAUGCACCCAGGGAAGAAAACCUCCCCCCAAGCACUUCGUGGACAAUGUUUGUUUCCCUGGGGAUACUAUUGUGUCCUUUUGCCGCCUGCUGCAGCCAGCUGUUUUAUAGUAUUGUGCUCAACUGCUCUUACUUGGUGAUACAAAUGUUAAGGGGCUCGAAAAUGUGAGCUUGAAUCAAGGUGACCUUUGUUUACAUGGUGCCAGGUUGUAGGGAAUCCUGCUAAUCAGAAUUUUGUUUCUACCUUUUUGUCUAUCAAUCAAUCAAUCAAUCAGUCAAUGAAUCAGUGAAGGACUGAGGCUGUUCAUGGGCUUUCCCUCAGAAAAAUGAAACUGUCUCCACUGUAGCACCUUAGAAAGCUUCCAUUUGAAUCUUUCCCCAGGUGGUCUUUUGGCUUUAGAGACUGGAAAUCAUGUUAAUAUUUCCUGAAUUUAAAAUGAUGAAAUAUUGAUACUUUCAAUUCAAAAUUUAAAAGCCCUCCAAUGCUUCUGAUCUCAAUAAAUUUGCUCUGCAGACUUACAAGAGUCUUCAAGAUAACUGUCAAAUAUAAAACAUAUUUAUCCUAUGAAAUUAAACAGGAUAUUUUUCCUUUGUGUUGAACUAACUUGUUAGUUGUUCAUUUCUAUUUUUACACUGAAUACUAGGUUGUAGGAUUUUUAUUGCAUCCUGAUUCUUUUGCAUUGGUAAAAUCAUUUUGAGGGAAGAAAUACUUCUCUCAGUAGAGGUUAAUUAUUACUGAGGUGUGGCUGAUCAAAAACAUGACAACUUUAUUGCUUAUGUUUAGCUUUCAGCAUAUUUAACGUGGAUAGCUGAGAAAAUUAGAAUGAAAAGAAGACUGUUUUAUUUAAUGAAUUAAUGCAAUAGGAAUUCAGAUCCUGUACUGCCAAAGUUCAACUGAAGCUGCUUAGAUCUUCUUUCAUAAAUCAACUGAGUUGUUUCAGUAAUUUCAUAGCCAAUAAGAUAAUAAUGUCUUCCUCUACCUUGUUUUUAUCUCCUGCAUUUGAGUUACAUGCACACACUCAUUUGAUAUACAACUUUACUUUUAAGAUUUUUUAUGAAAGAUACAACAUAAUUUUAUUCUAAAUAUGCACUUGACAAUAUGGAUUCAAAUUUAAUUCACUGAUGUGCAACCUUGCGUGUGAUAUCUGAAACCAGAGAUUGUCAAAUGGUAUAUCAAAAAGGUAAAUUAGCAUUUUCUCAGUGCAACCUGACAUGACAGAUGGGUAGGAGGAGGGCUGUUAUCCCUGAGAAGAGACUAAAUAUAUUAUAAUCUUGAUGUAUACACAAACUGUAUAAAGAUCUUCAUAAAAGAAUUUUCCAUGCAAAGGAUAUUUUUCCAAACUCAUAAUAAUUAGUUAAGUCCCCCAUAACUCUAUUCUAUGCUUCUGUGAAUAGCUUUGUAAGGCAUCUGUUCAUGGAAAUCACUUUAUAAGGUAUUUACUGAGAGCAUACCGAUUUGAAUACUUUAUGUGAGGAUAUUACUGUCCUUCGAGCAGUAACAAUAAUAAGAUUAAUCUUGCUAAUAACAGCUACCACAUCCUAGGCACUGUUCAAAUGCUCUGUAUUCUGACUCUCCUUACACAUGGUCACCUCACAAGAACUGCCUCAAGUGAUGAGUGAUGUGGACAAUAUUAGUUCUUUAAAAUCAGAAGGCGCCGAGUACCAAAAGAGCCAUGUGAUAGCCUGCGGAGGAGAGGGAAUUCUUGGACAGGGAGCUGGAGAGCUGCUAGGUAACAAAAACUCAGAAGUAGGAACCCUGCAUGGUCUAAAUGGAAGGAGAGCAUUUAGGAAAGAAGUCCUGGUGGAGAAGGUGGGGCUUGAGAAUGAAGCUGGUGUGUACUUGUUUUUUGUAAAUCUUCUUUGGGGUUUUUUGGACCUCGCCCAUUUUCACAGCAGGAAGAUUCACUGUGAUGUCAUGCAGAAAAAUCUAGAACAGUAUCAAAGUUUCAAAGAAUGUCGGCUUGUCCUGAUCAACUGUUUGACCUUUCAUAUUUAUGAGACUUACUUCUUCAUCUGAAAAUUUCAGGUUAUACUCCACUGGACACUGAAAGCACUUGUUCAUUUCCUGAGCUGGGGAAUUUUAUUUUCCUGCUUACAAAAUGGGCAGCCAGAAGACCUCUAGGACUCUCAUCCUGAGCAUAAGGCUCCUUACCUGCAACCUGAUGCAAAGCUCUUGAAAUUCCUCAAACUAGAUUUCUCAUUUUCCAACCUAAAAUCAAGUCCAUGAAUGCCAAAGGGAGGUCCUUCCUGGAAGAAUGAAGUUGUAUGUUUUGCAGAAGAUGACGAGGCACUGUUUCAGACCAGCAACUGUGGCAGCUUCAGAGCGUGUAAAGUCUGAUGGAAUAUUCUGCCAGGAGGAUCUGCAUGGAACCCUUGAUGUCACGUGUCAUCUGACACUGGCUUUCUUCAGGUUAUUUCAGGACAAGGUACUACUGGAAAAUCAUAACCACUCUCAGCGGGUGAACUGCUGACAAGUUUCAGGGUUUGGCUGGCAUUCCAGAGUUUAUUUGAGUUAAUCUCCAUUCUCAUUGGUUUGCAGAGCUUAGUGAGAACUGGUUUUUCAGGGAGCAUUUUCAUUGUUUCCUGAUUAUGCUGGUAUCAGAAACACCAGAAAUAAAAAAGAGAUUGAGACACAGAAUUUUAUAGAAUGGUUUCUUUUAAGGCAAGGAAGAACUUUUGGUGAAAUGUACAAAUAGUGAUUGUUUAUUAUUUAUUGGUAACACCUAGUAACUGCAGGGUGCAGUAUUUACCAAAGUUAGUAUGGUUGGUAUGCUGAUGAUUUGUUCCAAGGGAUUAAUUAGAACUUACCCUUUCUGCAAAGGAUUCCUCUCAAUUGAUUAGGUAGGUAAAGGUACCAAGAGAUGAUAUCUAUUCUGGAAUAGCACAUGAAUCUGCAGAAAUUUUAAUUUGCAAACUCAAUAGAUGAAAAUUGAGUUAAGAAAGGCUAAACAGAAAAUAUCACACAGUACUGAGUCAUAGAAACUUAGGGUUCAAGGAGGCGUCAUAAAUUGUAUGAUGAUUCUCAAAUUUCUAUGUAUUGUACCUCACCAUUUCAUAGGAAAAUUCUUCAAUUCUUUCUUGCAGGUUAUGUAUAAUUCUGUUUCUAUUUAGCGAUGGUAGAGACAUUUCCUGGGUCAUUUAGAUCACUCUGUGUAAGUACAGCACUAUACCUGAGAGAAACUGUUGGGUUUUUGUUUUGGGUUUGAUUGUAUGACGAAUAAUGGCUGAGUGGUAAAUGAAGAACCAACUUAGUUAGUGAGUGGAUUAAUGGAAAUACUACUGUAUUUUGGCUUUGUUAAAGGAGAGCUUUGAGAACACAGUUUAAGCCUGGAAACCAGAUGAGGCCUCUUGGGGCCAAAGGAACUCAUCUCUGCAACAGGGAAAAAGCCAAUCUGCUGUGCUUAUCUGUGGCCAGGGUCAGCAGAAAGGCAGCCAGGGGAGAGGUUCCCUCCACUGGUGGCUGCUCCCAGCUUCUGUCGCUGUGAGGUCUGACUGCUUCUGUGUCAGGACAAGAAGGGGAGUAGGCUUUGGCUCUCUGACCAAGGAAGCAAAGUUCUGAGAGAAAAGUGGGGGAAAGACAGGCUUUGAGUUGGUACAAAGCGAAAGAAGAAAGCGGGCUAUGGCCCUGUCUUUCUCAAGAUGCGAUGACAGAACUUUCUAUUAAAUUAUGGCACCCAGAUGCCAGCUUUAAGACAACUGGAAGACAACUCACCCACAGAGCUGUGGGAUGGGGGAGCUGUUUUGUGCUUCAUGGGCACAGGCUGGGCUGGGGAGGAGGAAGGGAGGGCCAGCCUUCCUUAAUAUCCCAUUUCUUUCAACAGUGGACUCCUUUGAAUAAUUCCUGAGGCAAGUGACCAUGCAGAACUUGCUCAGAUACCUCCAUAAAGUGGGUGCUCACCACACAUUGCAAUCCAUUAUGUUGCAGGAUGCUGGCAGGGAAGUCUUAUCUGAAACUAGAUCUGUCCUGUGAUUUUCAGCGUGUGCCUUGUUGCUGUGCUCCAGGCAGCAAAGGGCAGGCCAAAUCAUAUAGCUGGUUUCCACAUGUUCGAGAUCAUUAUCUCUCUCCAUACACCCUUCCCCUAGAAACCGUGGCACUGAUCCACAAAAUCCAAAGGCAUUCAGGAGCGAGCACUAGGAAGUAUUUUCUGAAAAUAGAAGGGCACUUAGCAUCAGUUUCCUCUUGGGAUCAUUCACCGCCAUCAUCAUGCUGUGGGAAGAGAGAUCCAGGUCAGGGGCCAGGGAAGAGGGGUCACCGAUGGGUGUGGCAGCUCAUCAAGGUGGCAGUUGUAGUAUUCCUCUUCUCCCUUUUUACUAGCCAGCAGUGAAGGUUCCUGCCCCUUUUUCCGGAUCUCCUUUUGUGUCUGCACUAAAAAGUAAAUUUCUGCACAGGCGGGAGGACUGGUGCAGAGUUAAACCACACAGAGCCAAGAAAAUAAAGAGUCAGAUGUCCCAGCAGCUUUCAGUGUGUCCCGAUUCUCACCACCCCCAGAGCAACCAUGAAAGUAGGAGGGACCAGAUGAAGACAUUUAAAAAUUGGUUCCGCUCCACAGUGAUCCGGUGCGAGCUGGGCUCGGCUGGAGAAGACUGUCUCAGGCUGGCGAAGGGACAGUAGCAAGGCAGGAUUACCCCUGUGACACACCCUAGCUUUAAGGUAGGAAGAUUAAGGCUUGUAAAAUCAUAUUUAGUCUAACAUAUAAUCUAACAAAGCCAAAUACCAUAGGAAUCCAGAAGUAUGUAUUCAGCACAGCCAUGGACAACUUCUGGUCUUUAGCACAGUUCUGUCACUAAGGGAAGUACGUGGGUGUGAGUCGGAUCUCUGCCAUUCAUUGUGUCUGCAGAGAGCUCUGUGUGUAUUGAGAAUCUCACUUAUCCCAUAUAUUUCAAGGGGAGAAAAGAGGUGUACUUCUGUGCAGUAUGAAACAAACCCAGUCUCACCCCAGCCCACCACCAUACACACACAAUGUAAAGGCUUAUACUUUUUACAGUGUGUACUAGCUGCUGCAUAGUGGAUUAUAUAAACCAGAAAACUUUCUCUGACGUGGGUUUGAGGCAACACAUAGGUUGCUGCAUGGUCACUUGUGUAAUAGUUAUUUGGGUGGGAAGUGACCAGUAGAGUACUUUAUGUGAUCAUUAAAGAAACAUUCAUUAAAAAGGAACCCAGAUGACAUGAAGAUAAAAUAAAUGUACCCUGUAGCCACUUGCAUACAGCUUAGCAAAAUAUGAACCUCUAUGAUCAUAUUGUAAGAAUCUAAGAGUUUCCGAGUUCUACGGUAACCUCGGAAUUCAUUAAGAGCUUCGGGUUUGUCACGAGGUAAGUGUUGAGUGGAUAAGGGUGAAAGAGCCGCAGAUUAAACUUCCUUUAUUUCUUUCUCAUUACAUCACACAAAGCUUGUGUUCCUGGAAAAAUACCUUAAGAAAAUAACAUGAAGAAAUUCUAAAUAAUGAUUGAUAAUAUGCCAAGAAGUUUCAAGCCUUUGUAGACAUUUGCUCUCUUAAAUUGUAUCCUAAUGAGUAUGUGACACAGAAUUAAAGUAGCAUAAUUUAAAAACGUAAAUCUAAACCCUCAAAACACUCCAGAGAUAAUAAAUAUAUGUUAUUACUUCGAAGUCAUCCUCCUGAGUGCUAGUGCUUAACCUAGUAAUUCUGACAUUCUUAAAAACCAUUGUUAGUCUCUGCAAGGGUCUACAGUUCUGGGGGCACUACUCUGUCACAGAGCAUGCCUUGAUAUAUAGCUUGGUACAUGUGUCUGGUCUAGUGUCUUCAUGAUAUGGAGAAACUUGAUGUAGAAAGAUGGAGUGAUUUGUCCGAAAUUUUGGGAAACUGGGACUGGAACCAAGACCUGUUUUUAUAAGAUAGCAUUUUCAUGUGAGAAUAAAGUAGUCAAAUGCAAAUAUAGUGAAUAAGACGAAUGAUUAACUCAGUGCACUCAUUGGGCACCACUGUAUACCAGAGCUCCUGACAGAGGCUGCAUGGGGGCCACUGUCUACAAGAGCUUCUCAGGUUGGGUCAUGACCUUAAAUUAACUGUAAAAAACAGAUCGAAAAAUGAGCUGCAAUUAUAGUGUAAUUGAGAGUCAUUUCCUUGUUUUCCCAAUUCUGUUUUAUCCCUUUAAUCAAUAAAUUCACAUUUGUAAAAUCAACUGAAAAAGCACCUACUUUAGUUAAAUACCAAUUUUUUGUGGCCUUCUUUCAAAUUCACAAUGACAGGUUUGGAAUGAACAAACUUAUUAGCUUAGGAAAAGCAUUAUGAGUCUUUAAAAUGAAAAUGAGAUCUAACAUUUUAGGUAAGGGUACAAUUAUUAUUUUCUAUAAAAACUGGUAGAAUUUUUAGAAUACUUGUGUACUGCCAAGUUGCUAUGUGGAUACCUUUGGGGAAACAAAAUCAACACAUCCAAUCUGUGGUGACAGACCUUUCAUCAGUUCUGUGACAUAUUAGAAACUUUCAAAUAUGGCCAGCUCUUAAACCUGCUGCUUUUGAAAAUCCUGAAAUAAAGAUAAUAAGUACUUAGCUAAUGUCAUCUGUCUGUUUCAAUUAACUUUAAUUAUGUGACAUAGCUGGUCUAAAAAUAUAGGUCAUCAGCUACAUGGCUUUUCUAGUCCUCUCUGUCUAUCCUGUCAUAGAUACUGUAUAUCUAUAUCUAUUUCAUCUAUAUUUAUUUAUCCUGUCAUAGAUAUUAUGUAUAUAUCUAUAUCUAUACCUAUACCUAUAUCUAUAUCUGUGUCUAUAUCUAUCUGCAGUAUUGAUGAUUAAACCCAAAGCAUUGUUUAUGCUAAGUGUUCUACCACUGAGCUAUAUCCAGUCCAAGAGUAUAUUCAUAUUGGCCUAUCAUUAAUAGAUGUUUGAGGCAAUUUGCUACUAAUAAUAUUCAAGUAGGAUAUGGAUAACUUGUUGAAUAUAGAAGAGAUGCUUGAAACCUUUUGUUCUGAUUACUUUUGUUGUUGAGACAAAAUACUUGAUGCUCAGAUUAAGGAAGGAAAGGUUUAUUUAGCUCACAGAUUGUGGAAAUUUGGUCCAUACUCAGCUGACUCUAAGGCAGAUUGGUACAUGGAAGAGGAGUAACAGCUCAUGAGGUGGAAAACAGCAAAAUCAACAAGAGAAAAGGGGAAGAGUGUACAGAAAAGACUCUUUUUGCCCCUCAUAUUGUAUGUAGGCCACACUCAAGGGUGGGUGUAGUACUCAGACUCAUAACCCCAGAAUUGGACAAUGAAUUGAUCACAAAGUUUAGAAACCUAUCCCCAUGACUGCAUGAGGCUUUAGGGGCAUAUUCAGACACCAACCAUAACAAUAUGGUAAAUAUUUAAAUAAAAAAUGUCUUUAAUUCCCCUUAAAAAUACCUCUAGCUUCAAACACACUUAUACUCUCCUUUCUGCCACUUUAUGAAGUAUUUCUGGAAAUCCGUUUUUCAUCAAUGUCUUUUUGAAUUGUGAUUAAAAAUUGUGAAUGAUAGGGCUGAAUGCAAUAUAAUGCAAAGACAAACUUCUAAGAAAAGAGACUUCUGAUUCUUCCUCCAACUCAAAAUAACCAUGAAAGGUAAAUAUUUUGAUUCAACUCAGGACAUCAAAGAAGCUGCAACAGCGUGAUUAAAGAUACUCAUGAGAGAAACUUUCAAAACUGUUUCAGAAAGAGGCACGACUGAUGAGAUAAGUAUGUUUGAAGCAUGGGAGAGUAUUUUGAGGAGGAUUAAUUGCAAUGUGGUUUUAUUGAGAUACAUUUAAAAAUGUAUCCAUCAUAGUUUUCAAUCAUAGCAUAAACAAUAAAUGCCCGGUCCACUUUAUAAACUUUCAUUUUUACCUUUAAACCACAUAAUUCCUGAAGUAAGUACUACUAAACCAUUAAAAAAAUGAAAGUUCAGAAAGACGAAUAACUUUCUAGUCACAAAAUGAGGUGGCAAUGUUGAGAAUGAAAUUUCGAUCUCUGGGUUAGUAGUAUUCUAACAAGUAUGGAGUAGUAUUCUCCAUUUUCUGUGCGUGGUUCCUUAUACUGGAAAGGUUUGUGGCCUUUCCAUGUUCUAACAAUGGCUGUAUAUGACAAGAUGACUAGCUUUGUGGAAGGAGCAAUGUGAGGACAAAUGGCCAAGAAAAUAAAAGAUGGCUGUUGAUAAGACUUGUGUAUAGAUAUCUCUGCUAAGCCUUAUAUGGUUAUGGGGUUUUCUUCAAAGGUAGCUGAAUCUAGAAGGUAUAAUGCUGGAACUAUAAGGCUCUAUGAUUAAGAAAUCACGCCACUGAUUGGUCUGACAUAAUUCUGGCUGGGAUUUAGGAUGUGAGUGCUACACUCACUUUAGGGAAGGCAGCCUGCAUACAAUAUAAGGGACACAAAGAGUCUUGUCUUACCCCUUACUUGUUGAUUUUGAUGUUUUUCAUAACCAUGAACUGUUGAUCCUGCAAUACCACCCUGCCUUGGAGCCAGCUGAUUAUGGACUAAAAUUUCUACAAACUGCUAGCUAAAUAAACCUUUCCCCUUUUAACUUUGGAUAUCAGAUGUUUUGUCUCAACAAUGAGAGAAAAGUAACUAAGAUAUUUGUUAGUUAUAUAGUCUGGGAAACUUCCAAUGAAAUCCUUCAUUUACCACACUUACUUGAGUAAACCCUUCAUGGAGACCCAUGUGUGAGCAGAUCGCAUUUGGAAAACAGGAGCAUGUCACACAGAUAUCUACAUCUUUAAUCUCAGUUGUGUAUUUCCUUGGGGCUGUAAUCCAGACCUUGCAGAGAAGGUUAAACUCUUACUGAGGCCAACAGUUGGCUAAGAUGCUUCCUUCUCCCUUAUCUGUCCCUCUGUGUCCCACUUGGAGUGUAAACAUGUCCCUUGGAAUUCACACAAUUUAUGUUGGGCGAUUUGUUCCCAAUGCAGCAACUCAAAGAGAUGAUCAGGGUAUUAGGAAGGAUGAAAUGAGUUAAGACUUUCCUGGAAGGAGUGGAUUCAUAGGGAGUUGCUGUAAAUGGAAUCUUCUCUUGUCCUUCCACUUACAUAUGUCUGCUUUUCACUCUUAUUUUUGCUCUGAAUUGAAGCAGAAUGGGGCCCUCACGAGUGUGCUCUUGAGCUUCUGUGUUCUUUAAAAAUUCCCCAGUGUUAGGUGCUUUGUUGUAGCAACAGAAAAUGGACUAAGAUAGCUUCUAAGAGGAUACAGGGUAGAAGGGGCACUUAUUUUUAAGUAGGGCCAGAGCCUGAUCCUACUUUACUUUGCAAGAAAGACAUAAAUUCAAAGAGACAGGUAUUUGAGUUUCUUCUGAGAAAUAACAAAUCCUAGAGUCCCAAGUGUGGCAAUCCUCACUUUUUGGAACACUAUAGUUUUAACUCCAAUCUUCAACCUUGUGAAAAUUAUUACCUUAGGGCCCCCAAGUCUCUCUUGUCUGUGAAUACAUUGAUUGAAGACACAUUAAUGCCAGUGACAAUGGAGGUAGUGUAGGACAAAUGUCACCUUAUCUGGGCAAUGAGACAGUAGUACUCAUUGAUUUGAUGGAAUGUCCAGAACUUACAAUAUCAUCAUUAUUUAAUCCUUGUGAAUUAACCUUCCAAGUUAACAAGGCUAGGCUAAUUUUAGGUUAGGUGAAAUAAUUUUACCUUAAAUUACAAGCUACACAUUUGACCAUAUCCUUUAUAUAUUUCAGUGGAAAUGUUUUGUCAUGUAAUUUGGAGUAGAAUAUCUUCAGAGAAGAAAGUCACUCACAAAAUAUCUGAAAGAAGUGGCUGAUGGAUCCAUUUAAUGUAUUAGUUAUGGAGACCUAGCUGUUUAUUUUAGAAAACUAUCCCUAACUUCUAAACACAAACACCAGUUAAUUUUGAUCACCAACUUGACUAGAUUAAAAGAUUCCUCAAGGAAUGAUUGGGUUCUGAAGGUACUAAACUCAUCAGUAGGUUUACUCAGUGGUGAUUUCAUAGAUGAAUGGGCUACAGGGCUUUGCUAGAGAAAGUAGAUCAUGAGGUUGUGAUCUUGCUAGCCAUGUCUAGUCCCUGGUCCCUUCCUCUCUGGUUCUUUUCCUGUUUGCUCCAUCUUGGAUGCAUAAGUUGAGUAGGUUUCCUUCCAAGUUAUGUACAUGUGGGUCAUGGAGGUCCUUGUGGAUCUAGAUCUGGUCCCUGGUCCCCACUUCUCUGGCACUGCUGCUGUCCUCUGCCUCUUUGCUGCCAUAAACUGAAGAGUUUUUCUGCAUCAUUAUUUUCCACCAGUUUCUUCCUUGGAGCCUGUUGACCAUGGAUUGGAACAUCUGAAACCGUGAGCCACAAAUAAUCCUCUCUCCCUUUCAUUUUGAGUAUUUUUCCAGCAAUGGAAAUGUGACUAAUAUAAUAUAAAUCAAAUCAAACUUAUUAGCCUGUGUAGAGAGUUGCCAAGUCUUAUUACAUUAAGUAAGACUUUACAUGUAAAUGGAUCUAUGAAGUUAGGAUCACCUUUGCUAUGUACAGGAAUAGAGCUUCAUUUAUUUCUCUAGACAUAAUAAAUCAAAAGGCAUGGGUAAAGACUUUCAGAGAUGUCUUGAUGCGUGGAGAUAAUUCUGGAAUAAAACAUUAACUAAGUCUCAACUGAUAAGUAGUAACUAUUUUACCACCUGCAUAUACAGUUUUUCUUUCUCUUUGUAGGUGGCUUCCUAGUUGGUACAAUAUUCAAGAUUGUAUUUUCUAUGUUCGUGUUGUGAAACUAUUACUUGACUGGUCAAAAGCUGUAGUUUCCUUGGCUAGCAUAAUCUUACUCAUUAUGGUAACUAUGUAUUGACUCCUCGAAAUGAAUGCAUCAUAUUGGACCAAUUGUGACUAUCCUCACUUGCUUUUGUAGCCCUCUUUUUUGCAAUGGAUGGACAUGUGACUCAUUUUGGCCAAUGAGGCAUAAAAAUAAAACUUGGAGCUCCUUUCUUUCUCUCUGAUUAAAAAAUAGUGCUAUCUUC